rnacentral:misc_RNA from 1 species
UCCCUGUUGCCAGGGCAGUCUAAUUAGAAAAAUCCAACUAAUCAUAAGGGUUGCGCUCGUUGCGGGACUUAACCCAACAUCUCACGACACGAGCUGACGACGGCCAUGCAUCACCUGUCACUGCGCUCCUAAAAGGCACUCUCUACUUUCGAAGAAAUUCGCAGGAUGUCAAACCUUGGUAAGGUUCUCCGUUUAUCAUCGAAUUAAACAACACGCUCCACCGCUUGUGCGGGUCCCCGUCAAUUCCUUUGAGUUUUAGCCUUGCGACCGUACUCCCCAGGCGGGAUGCUUAACGCGUUAGCUUUGCUACAAGAGGGGUCGAUACCUCUAACAGCUAGCAUCCAUCGUUUACGGCGUGGACUA